rnacentral:rRNA from 1 species
UACGUAGGUGGCGAGCGUUGUCCGGAAUUACUGGGCGUAAAGCGCGCGUAGGCGGCUUUGUAAGUUAGAGGUGAAAGCCUGGAGCUCAACUUCAGAAUUGCCUUUAAGACUGCAUCGCUUGAAUCCGGGAGAGGUGAGUGGAAUUCCGAGUGUAGAGGUGAAAUUCGUAGAUAUUCGGAAGAACACCAGUGGCGAAGGCGGCUCACUGGACCGGCAUUGACGCUGAGGUGCGAAAGCGUGGGGAGCAAACAGG